UACGUAGGGUGCAAGCGUUAAUCGGAAUUACUGGGCGUAAAGCGUGCGCAGGCGGUUAUGUAAGACAGUUGUGAAAUCCCCGGGCUCAACCUGGGAACUGCAUCUGUGACUGCAUAGCUAGAGUACGGUAGAGGGGGAUGGAAUUCCGCGUGUAGCAGUGAAAUGCGUAGAUAUGCGGAGGAACACCAAUGGCGAAGGCAGCUCGCUGGAACGGUACUGACGCUGAGGCGCGAAAGCGUGGGGAGCGAACAGG
rnacentral:rRNA from 1 species